AACUCAUAAAAAAUAUUGAAAAGUAACCCGUAUCAAUCUUGGCCAACUUGGGAAUAAAACUUUGAAAAUUAGCGCUCGCUCUAUGAUUCUACUCUAUGCAAAACACUGCCAUCUAUGGCGUAGAUGGCAGUACCAGCAACUCGAUGAGUUUAGUAUGUUUGGUUACGAAAAAAAUAUAAUUGCAUUAUGUAUUAAUCAUUAUUUAGAAAUGUUGAUAUUAUGUAGGAUAUAUAAGUGUUUUCUAUAAUUAUUUCACUCAGUAUAUUAUUUAAUGUGCAUGAUAAGAUGUUUAUAUUUGAAAUCUGGCGGUAAUACAUGCGCGCUCAUAGCGCCACCUUGCGAGCUUAUCAAUAACAUAAAUGAACAAAGAGAGCUAGCUAGCCACCACUAGAAAUUAAGGUUGUGUUUUAUCUUUCUCUAACAAGCGCGUACUACGCUAGUGUAAAAGAGACACGUAGUACACUUUCGGCCAUCAUAACCAUCUUUCUUUCUUGUGCAACUGUUUCUCUUCGGCCGUGUACUAGUGCAAACGCAGGAUGGACGCCAUUCGCGCGAGAUAAUUUUUUCAUCGCUCGUGAAGCGAGAUUUGAACGCGUUCGGUGCCGGGCGUGGAGCUAUGCUAUAGUGUAUUCAUUGUUCGGUGCUUUCGGUCUGGCGGUGCGGUGUGGAAGUGCUCGGUGCUGGUCGCAGCCUCGGCUCGGCUGGAGGCAAGGCAGCGAGGCUCGGCGCGUGCAGCGCGAGGCAUGGCGGGCGCGAGCUGAGCGCCGGUCGCGGCCUCCGGUGUCAGGCCGCUCGCGCUCCGCCGCCGGCCCGAUGAGCGGGGCACGUUCUGCGCGGCGGAGGUUAUUUUAUGGGUAUUUGCGUGAGCUGCCGGCGCCGCGAGCGAAAGGCACCAGAGAAGCGGUCGGUGCCGGGAGCGGGCGGGCCCGCUAAGGGCACUGCGGCGGCAGAGCUGCUGCCGCGGCGCGUGAACCGACUGACAGCCAUGGCCAACUCCAUGUCUAACAUCAAGAUGACAAACCCUCUCAAGGGCAUUGUUAGCAGGCGCCGGAAGCGCUACACCAAGGACGGAUUCAACCUGGACUUAGCCUAUAUCACAGACAGGCUGAUAGCAAUGGGCUUCCCCGCCGAGAAGUUAGAAGGAGUAUACAGGAAUCACAUAGACGAGGUGUACAGGUUUCUAGAGAAGAAGCACAAGGACCAUUAUAAAAUAUAUAAUCUCUGCUCAGAGCGGUCAUACGAUUCAAGCAAAUUCCACGAAAGGGUGGCGCGAUACGAGUUAGAAGACCACACGCCUCCCAACAUUGAGCUGAUACAGCCUUUCUGCGAAGACGUCCAUAAUUGGCUAUCAGCUGACUCCAAGAAUGUGGCAGCAGUGCACUGUAAAGCUGGCAAAGGACGAACGGGCACAAUGGUCUGUUGCUACCUACUGUACAGCCGGCAAAAGGCGUCGGCGGACGAAGCCCUCCAGUUCUACGGGACGAAGAGAACCUACGACGAAAAAGGCGUGACGAUUCCGUCGCAGCGGCGCUACGUGGAGUACUACGCGGCGCUGGUGACGUCGGGGCUGGUGUACUCGGCCACGCGCGUGCACAUCCGCGAGCUCGUCAUGAGCCCGCCGCCCACGCUCAACGGCGGACACUGCGCGCCAGAGCUCACCGUCUCGCAGGCCAAGCCCUGCUUCAAGACGCCGUCGGGCUGCCACGAGGUCCGCAAGGAGGCGGGCGGCGUGCGCGUGUUGCUGACGCACUGCACGCCGCUCUGCGGGGACGUGCGCGUCGACGUCUACAACAAGCCCAAGAUGAAGAUGCGCAAGGAGAAGCUCUUCCACUUCUGGUUCAACACAUACUUCGUGGCGGCCGGCGUCGGCGCCGAGAGGGUGCCCGCGCUCGACGACAGUCCGAACCUCGAGACGUUCAAGUUAACGCUAAAUAAGUGGCAGCUUGAUGAGGCGCACAAGGACAAGCAACACAAAAAUUACAGUCCAGAUUUCAAGGUGGAGCUGAUAGUGCAGAAGAUGCCGGUAUCGGCCACGUUCGUGGGCGGCGGCGCGUGCUCCCCGCCGCCCUCGUCCUCGUCCUCGUGCUGCUCGUCCCGCUCCGAGCGCGACGAGCGGGACGACCCCGAGCGGGCCGCCUGGGACUCCGCGAGGAGUGGCUUGUGGUGAGCGUGGCGGGAGCGGCCGGGAGCCCCCCCCCCCGCCUGCCGCCGCGGACUACACGUGAAUCUACAUACUUGUGAGGUUUGCUCGUGCCUCGGUGACCUCUCCACUUCUAUAAAUAAACCCUGCUUUACCCACCCCUACUGGCAAAGGCUUGAACUUUAACACGGUGCCGAAAACACUUGUAACCCUGAAUCCUAGUGAUGUUUACUGAACAAGUAGUGCUCUAUAUGUGUCUAAAAAUGUGUAGAUAUUUAACAAAAAUGAGCGGGUUGUGCCAUUGCCGCGUGCCGACGGACUAAACGUACGGUUUGGAUAUAAAAACAAGUUUUUGUGAUAAUAAUAGUGUGCUGAAUGGACUUAUACGUCGGCGAAUCGACGUUGUGGAGAUAUCGUUUUAUUUCACCCGUUUACAAGCCGUCGAAGGAAUCGACAUUAAAUUCUAUGGUCACAAGGUAUGUUUCUCGUUUAACUCUUAUGACUGAUAAGUACAUUUCUCGGUAUUUUUUUUUAAUUGUAAGCUUUGGCCAUUGUCAUAGAUGUGUUUCAGUGAAUAAACAUUUUGUACUUUUUAAAUGUCAAAGACUAAAUAAUACAAGGAGGUUAAUAGUGUACUCUGCCGAAUUUUUAACAGACUGAAAUUAUUACCGGUAAAUCAGAUGGUUAGAAAUUAGAUCAGGUUCAGUUGAGAAAUGAAUUAUUUCGAUGAUGGAGAAGCAAUGUGACUCGCUUGAAUAGUUUUGAAAAUAAUAUUGUCUGUUAAAUUAAAUGUAUUUAGAACUCCUUAUCAUUGUGAUGUUACAAUGGUGACGAUUGUUUGUCUGUAUGAUUUUAUCUAGUGACCAAAUUAUUAAAUAUGCGCAAAAUGUCUUUCUUAUACAAUUAAGUGUCCGGUAAUAUUUCUAAUAUUUUUAAGCAGUAGUAUUCAAUAUCGUAACAAAUAAACGUCACCAUUGAACUGUAUUAGGACGUACCUAGUCAAUGUCUUUGAUAUGACUUGAAAAUGUAUAAAAUAUAAGGAACCAAUUUCUAGGUGCUCUUAUUUCAUUUGAUUUGAAAAUGAAUAUCAUCCUGGUUAACCGGCUUGUAAGGUAACCAAUAUUCGAGAGAAAUCGUCUGUUUUUUCAUACAUUGUAUUGUACCAUAAAGCCAGCUUCAGUUAUUUAUAAGUUUUUUUUUAUUGAUAAAGAACUACAACAUGCCGUGAGUGCGAGGCAGAUUUUCCCACCAUUUCGACUAAGUCCAUUGACGGACAGUUUUUUUUUUAAUGUUUUUUUGUAUAAUUUCGAAAGAUCUCACUAACUGCCGUCAUAAAUGUAAAAAUUUUGUUAGGCUUAAUGUGACUACUGUGGGAUUUUUAUGAACAAGAAUUAUCGAGUCCUAAGGAAAACUUAAUAAAAUAAUUUAGGGCUUAACAAGUUACUCUUAUUGCACAAAGCUAUGUAAAAUGGACUUUAAUCCUUUAUAUUUCUAAUACUCUUUGGUGCGUAAUAAAAUAAAUAAGAAUUUUGGUUAGUUUUAAUUACUUUUCUUCAACUAAAAAUCCCACAGAAGACACUUUGUUAGUAGAAAAAAAAACUUCCAAAAACAAGUUUGAUACUUGACACAAUUUUAUGAAAGGAACUGAAGGCCUAGAUUAUAACCUAAAUAUGUUGACCCUUGGCUAGUCCAUAAUCUGAUCAUAGUAAAUACUAUAAACAUGUAACUGUUUUACAUAACACAUGUAUCAAUAUUUAAUUCACAAUACAUUGAGCUACUAUAGUUCUAUUAACGAUUAUUAUUAACUGGCUGUCGAGUAAAAGAAUGGAAAUCAAAUAUAAUUAUUGCAGUAUACAUGCUAGGGUGGUCACUUGUGUAAAAGUACAAAUGGUUGCACAUGCUAGGUCUUCUUAGAGAAUGGUCCUCCACGCAAAGUGUGAGAGAGACAACAUGAUUUUCGUGCGUUCGUAUGAUUUGAUGCGCUUUUUUAAUACCUAUAAAAUAUAUAAUGUACUAUCAAUUCAUUUUAUAUACAAUUCUAAUAAUUUAUUGAAAAUUUCAAAUCAUUUAAUUAAUUAAUUACUAAUUAGUAUUAUCAAAUUUAGAUAUCCAAGUAGCACAAGAAUAAAACAUUGAAAGCAUAGCAAGGUUGACAGAUCAUAUUUGUUGGAUAUUGUAUUACCUGUCACUUUCAUGCAAUUGUGGUAAAGAGAGUGUAAAAAUGAUAUAAAUAUUAUGCUCUGCCAAACAAGAUCUAUAGAUGUAUUUUAGUUUACAUUUACAUUAAACACUUACAAAAUUAAUUCAUUAAAACAAAAUAUAAAUAUAACACUCAUUUAAUAUGAGUAUGAUGUAAGUUUUCAUAUUUUUAAGUACGUAAGUGUUCAGGCUGAAUGGAAAUACCGUGGUUCAGAAAAAAAUUACAUUUGUUUUAUAGGUAUUGAAACAGCUUGGAUAAAGCCUGGAAUAUUCGAACUGUGUUGCUGAAUGCAAUGUGUGUUUUUGUGUUUUUGCAAUUGAAGUAGUAUGUUUACUAAUACCUACAAAUGAUUGGAACUAUGAAUGGAGAUUUAAUUCACUGAUUUGAAACAAAAACAUCGAAUUGAUAAUAUCUGUAUUAAAAUCAGUUUUGUAAAAGUAUCAACAAAUUAUUGCAAAUAAGGUAUUCAAUGUAGAAGUUUAAUGCAUAACAAUAAUAUUAAAUUCCGAAAGUUACGUAUAUUUUUUGUUUGGCACGAGUAUCAUCUUUACAUUUUAUUGUCUUUAGAUGAUAAGCAAUAUGUUAUAGAUCAAGUAGAGAAUGACUUCUCCAUUCAUAGCAUAAGCUACAGACGAUAUCUGUACCUUAGGAAGAUGGAUGAAAAGCCGAUUUUAUUUAAUUGUAAAUAUUAUUGUUACGAUACAUUAGUGGUUAAUUGAGAUCUGUUUUAAAUAAGUAGGUUGUGUUACAACCUAGCGCCUUUUAAAAGUUUUAUCAUUUUGACAAAAGCAUAUUGAGCGUUGUCUAUGGCUGGUCCAUUUACAAUGGAGAGAAAUUAAAAUGUCUAAUCAACGUGUUAAUUUCAUUCUGUUAUUUUAAUAGCUUUUACUUUUGUUAUUGACAAUAAUUUCAUUGAUACCCACAUACAUUGUUUUCAUAUAACUAAUAUUCGCAUAUAAUUUACAGUGUAGUUUUAAAUCAUCCUCUGAACUUGUGUAAACUAGGAUUAAUGUUCUGUUAGUGAGCAGAAUCUGCCAGCCAGUAGAAACUCAUAAGAUUUUAUAACUUUUUGAAAAAAACUCUGAAAUUAAGAAUAUUAUACAGUUACGGUAAAUCUAGAUUAAAUAAAAGAAUGAAAAUAGCACAAUAUCUCGUUUAUGUUUCUAUGACGUUUAGGAGAGUUCACGGUUAUUGUGAUAUAGGGCUGCGUGGGACGCUCGCUCGGACCUCCUGCAAGGGGCGGAGUCUUCCUGAUACAUGGCGUGAUCUAGAUCUAUUGUUUUAAUUCCUACAUUGUAAUGAAAUGCAAGAGGUUCGAGCGAGCAGGGUGUUGUUGACGACGGGUUUAUCACGAAUGCCAGUAUUGGUGAGACGAGUGUGAGGGGUGUGGUACGCGACUUAUCGUGGUGGUUCCAAAAGGGAUGAUGUCAAAGCACAUCAGAUAACUCUCGCGGUGAAAACUGUGAGCUGUACGAGAUGUUAUGAAGUGUGACGGGUUCGAUGUUACUUGGCGUAGUUAUGGCCUAUGAGGGUAUUUUGAAGGAGAAUGCGCAUGUGAGACAAGGAUGGCAUUUUGGACAAACUCGCUGAAGUUUAAACGUAGUAAGUAAGCAAUGGUUACUGUAGGUAGGUUAGAUCGUGUCUAGAUAGGUUUAAAUAACGUCAUAGAAACGAACAGAGCUGCAGAAGUUCGAGUAAAUGACAAAAAAACUUUUUUAAAUUCUUUUAGGCAUUAUGAUUUUUAAUUUCUUAAUACGGCUAAGACGGAGUCACAUGAAGCUUCCAGUUUAAAAAGUUUUUUAUUAAGUGUCAUGAAUUUGUUUUUUUUUUCAUUAAUUAGUUUGUAAUUUUUUAAUUGUAUCGCUUCAGAUUUCUUGUUAUCUGUUAAGUAUAUGUAUUUGGCUCAGUAAUAAUUUUUAUUCUGAAAAUUCUAUGCGUCAUUUUAACUUCCGAUUUGUAAAUAAGGAUGGUGAAAUUCUAAAUUACUGUUUUUUACAAUAUUUUGUUUUGUGCUAAAUUUUAUAUAAGCUGCGAAUUACAAUCUAUUUGGCGUCCGGAGGUUAAUAUACGCGUAUAUAUCAUCAAGUACAAAUUUAGGAGUUGUUAGUUUGAUCCGUCUUAGACAAACGGAGUGGACUAAGUCAUUAACUUAUUCUCCAAAAAUAUUUUUUAAUGGAAAUAUUUGAUAAACAGCCACCUCUAGUAUUAAAAUAACCCCCAUUCCAGUAAAGUGGUAGACGUUCGAAUUUCGUUUUGUUUCUUUUUUUAUAUAAUUGUAUUCGCAUGAAAAUUCGUUAUCGGUUAACCACUCGACCUCCCCACUCCCUUCAUCAAAGGUUUAGCUUUAAAGAUUGUUGUUUGCCUUAUAAAAAAAUGUGAUCUUAUGAGGAUUAUACUUAAAGGAUGUCGCUGUACGUUGCGGGUGUAGGAAUCGGCGUUUGUACUGAAAAGUAAACAGAAACAUUCAAGUGCGGAGACUUUUAAACACCGCUAAUAAACUGUCUUUAUAUUCUUCUUACAAUUGUAUCAUUAAAUAUUUUCUUCUUAAAUUUUAGGCAUUAUGUACAUCAUUAUCUAUGUUAUAUUUUAAACAGAAAUUUGUGCGGUGUACAUAAUUCCUAAAAAUAGUGAAUGCGCCUGCGUCCGCAACAAGUAUGAAAGAAUAAUGCCUUGUUUGUAUAAUGAAUAUGGUAACAUAUAAAAAGAAUAAUGAAUUAUCUAAUAUAAUAAGACUUUGACAAUGUUCGAUAGGCUCAGGAAAGUUGACUGUCAAUUGGAUAACAGGCGAAAAGGGCUUUAUUGGUUCGAAAGUAAGCAUUCACGUUGCGAUUGCAGUAAUAUUGAAUGUACAAGAACAUAUAACCCAAUAUAAAAUCAAAAUUGGUGUCCAUAAUAGUCAAGUUCCGGCGAUCGCAACGUGAACAGCGUCUUUAGUAUGAAAGAUAGUUGGCAAGCGACUUGUUUUACGAAUGAUUAUGAGAACGACUUUCAUGGAUAAAUGUCUAGUAUUCUAAAUGUAAUGUUAAUCAAUGUAUGUCCGACAAUUGACACAGUCGCGUGUGCGACAAGUCGUAGCGUGCACAGGGGGCUUUUGUGAAUCAUUUCACUUCCACAGACACUAGUAAAGCCCUCUCCGCAGAUAAAGAAACUAAAAAGAAUAUAAUUUUUAUAAAUCUUAAGAAAUUCUUAGUUUCACAGUAAAGUAAUACACUGUAAAUUAUUUCUUAUCUUAGUAAAAAGAUCUCAUCACCUUAUUUUUUUUGUUUUGUCUUUUUAUAAUUAUUUUGAGAAGCAGAUUAGUUGAUUUAAAGACAAUCAAUGUAAAAUAAAACUUAUGGAUGUAUAUA